GAGUCAGACUUCUACGCAUUCAGGCUCACCGUUCUAGUAACUGCAGGCAACUUGUAAGCGUACCUCGUGCUGCCUGUAAAUAGGCACACUGAUAAGCAGCAGCGUUGCUAGUCGACGUGAAGAUGUGUUGUAGGCCAGAAGCUACGCAGUUUCUUUGACUGGUAACAAGGACAGUUAGGAAGUUGGAUUGCAUCACCUUUUGCUAGUGAGUGCGAUGUUACCUGUACGGAUAUCACUAAACUGCGUGUUGUGGAAAUAGUAGUCUGGGAUGAGAUGGUCUCCUUUUCUAUUUACGAAACGACGCCUGCAAACCGACGGGUCGCGAAUCUUGCGGUCCGGACGCCGGCACAAGAUUCCGAUUAAGGCGAAGUAAACCAUACGACACAACGCUGUCACACAGAACGUCGCGACGACUCUUUCUGACGUUGACACAGGAUUACGACGACGAGACACUGGAAGCGAAACCACACGGCAAUGGCAAACCGACGGUAAGCGUCCUGCGACCUAUCAUCACGACGCCGAAAAACAUUCGGAAUUAAGCAAUGACGAACCUAAAAACGCAACACGGUGACGACACAGACAAAGCGACGCCUAUUACGCGCCGCAUUUAUAAGAUUUUGAUAGAAGCGAAGACGAACCUCGAAAAAGCGUUUACGAUCCAACACUGGAAAACCCGACGCGGAGUGUCGGGACGACAGGCAUCGUGAACACGUGUAUCUGGGAACCAU